UACGUAGGGUGCAAGCGUUAAUCGGAAUUACUGGGCGUAAAGCGUGCGCAGGCGGUUGUGCAAGACAGAUGUGAAAUCCCCGGGCUUAACCUGGGAAUGGCAUUUGUGACUGCACGGCUAGAGUGUGUCAGAGGGGGGUAGAAUUCCACGUGUAGCAGUGAAAUGCGUAGAUAUGUGGAGGAAUACCGAUGGCGAAGGCGGCCCCCUGGGAUAACACUGACGCUCAUGCACGAAAGCGUGGGGAGCAAACAGG
rnacentral:rRNA from 1 species